CGCGGCCCCGUGAGGGGAAUGCUGUUCCUGAGGGGACUCACACCGGGCUGCGGGGCCGGCGCGGGAGGAUCCCGUCCUGCCGUGCCCCAUCGGGUUUCUCGAGAGACGCGCAUGAAGAAGUUGACAGAAAUCAAAGAAUUAAAUUUUUUUCGACGCACCUUUUAACUAACAGCCACCUAUUCGGGAACAAUGCUUCUUAUAUGAUCAGUUAAUAGCUUUGAAUUGUGUCUUAUCAUAAAUAUUCUGCAGGAGUGCUUAUCUAGGGAGAAAGCAUUCCUUCCCUAAUCACACCCUUCUCAGUGACUGGGGUUGGCAGGAGCUCAGGAGGUCAUCCUGUCCAAGCCCCUGCCCAGGCAGGGCCACCCUGAGCCAGCUGCCCAAAACCAAGGCCAGGUGAUUUUUGAGUAUCUCCAAGGAUGGAGAAUUCAUGACCUCCCUGAGCAACCUGCUCAGGUGUUUGACCACUCUGACAAUGAAAACGUCUUUCCUUAUUUUCACGUGGAUUCUCUUGUCUUUCAGUUUGUACCCAUUGACUCGCAUCCUUUCCCAGGGAACCACUGAGUUCCCUACCAUUUUCUGAUUAAGUCUUCUUCAUCCCCUCCCAUUUAUGGAUUAAAGAUCCCUCCAACCCUUCUCUUCCACAGGCUAAACAGUCCCAGGUUUCUAAGCCUCUGCUCAUGUAGCCAGUCUGCUGUCUGAGACACCCAUGUCUUAACACUGCUUUUCUCUCUCAAAGUCCACCAAACAGUAAGAGUGAAUGGCAAUAAAUCUAUGACUAUUUAUUAAACAAUUACAGCCUUCUGCACAGAGUUAAACUUGACAAUUAGAAAUGUCUUCAUUAUGAAUCUGUUCUAUAAAUACACAAUACCAAGAUCUUACAAAGCUGUGGAGUUGCUGUGUCUGAAGUAGCUGUUGGCAGCUGACAGUCCCAGUUCACCUCAAGGCUGUAGUCAACACUGUCAUGUCUGUAGUCAGAAAAUAUUUACUCUUUAAUAGUCUGGUCUGUACAGUACAAAGGAGGACUUUAUCAGAUAUGUGCUCUGUAAAAGCUUAAAGUAAAAGAUCACAGAAGCUGAGCUGUACCACUGAGGAAAUACAGAAUAUUGAUAUAAAAUAUAUAUUUUGAAAGGAUGAAACAUAUUCAGUUAGACGUAUUGUUCUUCAAGUGCAGCACCAGGUCUAAUAUGUCUUUAGACCAGAAUUAACAACAUGAAGCUGCAUUUAGCUUGCUCUGUCCUCAAAACCACUGCCUUUAGUCCGGGAAACUAUGUGAAUGAUUUUGUUGACCAGAUAACUCAUACUAUUUGAAUAUUAUACUCUUUUAUUCAAGUUCUGUACUGCUUUUCAAUGAGUUGCAGAAAACUACAGCUGAAGUUGCAUUUUUUUUUUCCUACAUAAUAGUUUGCUCAUAGUCAGGACAACCUCCUCCCAGGUACAAAACUCCAUGUCUGCAGGACCUCACAUUUCAAGGAAACUAGCUAUAACCAAGGAAAAGUUUUUGGGGCUUCACCAGUUACUUGGUGGCAGCAUCAGAUGACAUUGACUUCAAAAUUAAUGUAUAAAGGAUGUGUUUGGCUUUAAGUACCCCCUUAUUUCCUCCCAUAAACAAGUCUGGCUAUCUAGAAUAUAACACAAAACUUCAACUAUACUGGUAAUAUUAUUAGUUUGUGCUGUCUUUAUGUACAUACACUUGAGAAGAAAAGCAAACACAUCUGUGUCCAUGUCUAAGAUUGGAACAUGUCUUCCCCCAGCAUGCAUUCACAUUUAAAAUUAAAAUAUUAUAUUGGACAAUUAUGUUGGUGAUAUAAAGAGGUGGUUUGGAAAAAGUACUAGUGGGGCCUCCCUGGAAAUUAUGUUCUGCAUAAAUGUCCUGAUUUUCAAUGACUUAUGCUUCUCCCAGAAGUAAAAUUUCUGUUCCCUUUAAAUUAUACAUGUUAACUUGGAUUUUUCAAAUGUCUUAGUUUUGUGGUUGGGAUUUAUUUAAAAUCCAUGUCUCAGAAUAAAAUGUAUUUUCUUUAGAUAUACCUUUGCAUUAGUUUUUUUCGCUAAGGUUGGAACAAAUGGGAAAAGACUAAAACACAUCAAGCCACAGCAAACUUUUCCUCACAUUUUAAAGGGACCUAUUUUUCCUGUUGAGUUCAUUUUGUAAAGAGAUUUGCAUAGUUAUUGGCUGUUAGCUUUAUUCCAAAUCUUUACAUUUUAAAUCCUGCUAGCCAAUUAGCUAAUUUAAGUCUUCUUUCUUUUGCUAACACUCAUUAUACUAAUUUAGGUAAUAAAAUUGUACUUUUGUUCAAGAAUAUUCUUUUCCAAAAUCAAUUUAAUUUGAAAACAUUUUCCCCCAAGUAUUCAGGAAGUCAUUAUUUCAACUAUUGAUGUUGGAAAAUGCAUUAAACAGCUUUUAUUAAGCACAAGGGUGUUUUAAACAAAACUUGUAGCUUCUCCUGAUCUGGUAACUAAAUAUGUUUAGUACUUGACGCUGCAGAAUUCCUGAAAAUCCUGCCUGUGGUGGGAGCAUCAGAAGAGGAGGCUGUUGCCUCAAAUCAGGAUGCACAGCAUGGGGAAAAAGGACUUCAUCCUCUUCUGUAGAAGUGAAUGGUCACUGAGUAGCUGAAGAAUGACUCCAACUGUGUGCUGAAUGCAACCUGCACGUUGUAAUACAGCAUGGGAAACAAGGAAAGUAACUGCAACAUUCUGGUAAGAUUCCCAGUCCCCACCCACUGCAAUAUGAGAUUAAAGUACAAAAUAAGUAGAACAUAAACCUGCAAGCUUCAGAUGUCACUACUGGAUUAUUAUCAACUCUGUCUGAAUGAAUAAUGCAGUAUCUCAGUUCUGGAGCUUACCCAGGAGAGAUGUCUCAUCAAGAACAAACUUGCUCCCUGUGACAUCAAAUGACUCCAAAAGAUGUGUGAACUGCAAGGCUCAGCAGGUGACAGAGUAGUGAAACAUUUUCUGAGAUUAGCAAAUAGAAAGUUUGCCACAAGCCUGUGGCACUCAGCCCAAAGCACGAGGUGCUGAAAAAAGGCCAGGAGAGAUUAAGGGUUGAGUUUAUUUGCUCUCAAUACUGUUAAGCAAGAUGACAACUAGACAGCCUAGCUGCAAAACAACUUUCUGCCUGGCCAAGUUUAAAAAAAAAAAAUUGUAAAAAUGGAACAAUCUCAGUGAAGAAGUUCUGUUGCAGUUGUAACAGAUCCUGCCAGAAAGUCAAGAUACUUGUCAAGAGGGACCAAGAAAUGAUGCUUAUAGAACUAUCUUCAAGGAGCAGGUCUAUAAGGUUUCUGGGAUAUUUUAAUCACCUGUGAAUGAGAUUAUUUCCAGUGGUCCUUUUCAGAUAUUACUAAGUGCUAAUGAAAUAAUGCUUUAAAAUAAAGAUUCAACAAUUUCUGUGUCAAAGAAUUAUCUUACUAGAAUCUUAUUCUAAUUAUCUUAUAGAAGUUUUGACAGGAUGGUUUUAUGGGCCUUUUGCACCUCAGGAUGCAAUUUGCCUGAACAUCUCAAACGGUGUCUGUGUAGUAUUCUGUGAUCAAAGAAGAAACGAAGAAUUCUGCCAUUGGUUUAACUGGAAUAUAACCACUUGCUCACUGUCUCCAGUGGAAUGGGGCAGAGAAUCAGCAAAAAGCUGUGGACUAUGCAUUCAAAUAUGGGUGAAACAAACUGCAAAGCAUCCUUGGUGACAAGUUAACAGGCUCAUUCCUACAAAAUCUUUAAUUCAGAUAUCAUAUAGUUCUCUUCAUUAUAUGGAAGACUUCAAGGAAGCUAAGUUACUGAAAGAAGGCCUGUAGCAUCCAUCUCUCAUCUUUUCAGUGAAAAGCACUGGAUUUAUCAAUGCAACAGCAAGGCAGAGCUGCUUUUGAAAAUAUAUUUGGUCAAGUUUUCAGUAGUGAGCCUUCUCAAGGGUCCAGGAGUUGACAUUUGAAUACCAACUGAAAUUGGUGAGAGUUUACUGGUAUAAAUAAUUUUCCUUAUAAAUACAAAAAUGUAAGUUGAUGAAAACCAACUGCUACAUUUCAGAAAAGGAAAUGGUGUAUGUGGAGUUGUGGUGUUGAUGUAGCUGGCAAAUGCUGACAGGAAUGAAACAUUCUUUGUGUAAAAUCUAACUGUAAUCCUUAGUAGAAUAAGAGGCAAAACUGCCAAUAAGGCAAGAUUUAAUCUUUAUCUUCCACAUAUUUUGUGGGAAAGUUUGGAAACUGAGUGUGAACAUGCUUCAGGAAAAUUUGGUCUGCUAUGGAAAAUUGGGAAGUUUUCCAGCAGGAGAUGCUUAGAAUAUUGUAUGCCUUUGUUUGAACUUUUUAAAAAUUAAUCAGGAUGUGACACUUAAAUGGAAAGGAAAUGUGUUUGUAAAAAUGAUGCAGGAGUUUAGGAAGAGAGAUUGACAAAGAAGAAAUAUUUGGGGGGUGUUAAUUUAUAAUUCUCUUGAUUUUUACUGCAUCACUGCGGAGCCAAAAUGCAGGUUAUGGAGCCAACAAACAGGAGCCAGGGCAUGGUUUUGUGUGCCUGCUGUGUGUUUCCAUCCUUGCUUCCUGGACAAUCACUGGAUUAAAACUCGAAACAGGUUUUAGGCACACUUUGUUUCUGUGCAGUCUCCCUUGUCUAACUGAUAGUCAAAUGCUCUUCUAAGUCAACCAUUAAACUUGCAUUUUACUGUCUAUGACCACUACGCAGUGGGGGGAACAUUCAAAAUAUAUUUGAUUAUUUAAGCUAACUUCUGUGUGGGCAGAACUGUGGACAUUUAUGGGCUUUGCAGGGAUUUUACUGUGUUUGUUAAAUCAUAUAGGUUUUAUCAGAGUGUUAACCUCUCUGGAGCCUCCAUCACCAGCUCUACUGAGGUCUGCUAUUCUUUCAGGAUGGGCUAAAAACCCCAGACAUUUAUUUAUUCCUUAUUUGUUUUGAAACAAAAAUUAUUAUAAGUCUGAAUAAAAGAAGAAUAAAUGGUGUAUAUAAUUUCAAUCUCACAGCAAAGCUACCAGAACAGAUGUUCUUGUGGGUUCUAAUGGGUUUUGCUCCUUCAUCUUGUAUUUUGAAAGAAUUUCUAUGGCUAAUAAAUAAUCUAUAACAUUAACUGGUACCGUUAUGGUUGUGAUAUUAAAGGUCAUAAAAACACAUGCAUUAUCUGGCUUUUAGAGCUUUCUUCCUGUCUUUUUUACUUACUUU